rnacentral:lncRNA from 1 species
AAUAUGCGUGAAAUAAUCUUUGUUACUUAAUUCGUAAAUUAUUCGCGAAUUAUUCACGAAUUAUUGAAAGGCUGAAUAAAAAACUCAUAAUUUUUAUAUUUAAAUAUAUAUUAUUUUAUAUUUUAUACCGAAUUUAUUUUUUAAGACGAAUUUUUCAACGAAUUUAAAAAUUUAUAUAUACACACAUAUAUAGAGAGAAGUACCAUAAAUUUUUUCCAAAAAUAAAAGAAAGAAUCUUUGGUUUAUUUUAAUGCUGUUUUUGUUGAUAAAAAUUCUGAAUAACGAUCCAUAUUAGUGAACUUGAUUUAGACUAUUUAAACUAUGUAAGUAUCAUAUAAUAGCAUCUGUCUAGUAAUUAAGUGGUCUUCAAUUCACUUUAUAUUACACACUAAAAAAUAUUAAUUAAAUUUGAGUGAUAUAUUAAUUAAAUUUGAGAUCACUCAAGUAUUAGACAAAUAGAAAAUUAGAAAAUUUGAAACAUGAGUAUAGGAUCCUCGGUGCCAAUCAUUAAAACAAAAAUUCAAAUUGUUAAAAGGAUAUAUUCAAUUCAUUUAAAAGCUUAGGUCUCGUUUGGUUCGGAUAUAAGCAAAAAUUGCCUAUUUCGAAAAUGGAUAUAUAAGUUCAGAUAUAAGCAAAAAUUAGAUCAUUUUUAUAUUUGGAUUAAAAUUAAAUUUUUUUCAGAAAUUAAAAAAAAUAGCGGUUGAAUAGAUAAGAUGGAAUAAGAAGAAUAAUGGAUAGUUAUAUAUAAAAAAUAAUGAUAUUACCUCUCUUAUUAUAUUUAAAUUUAAAUUUGUAAAUUUAUAAUUUUAAAAUAACUUUUAAAU